GACGAACGCUGGCGGCGUGCCUAAUACAUGCAAGUCGAACGCUUCUUUCCUCCCGAGUGCUUGCACUCAAUUGGAAAGAGGAGUGGCGGACGGGUGAGUAACACGUGGGUAACCUACCCAUCAGAGGGGGAUAACACUUGGAAACAGGUGCUAAUACCGCAUAACAGAUUAUGCCGCAUGGCAUAAGAGUGAAAGGCGCUUUCGGGUGUCGCUGAUGGAUGGACCCGCGGUGCAUUAGCUAGUUGGUGAGGUAACGGCUCACCAAGGCCACGAUGCAUAGCCGACCUGAGAGGGUGAUCGGCCACACUGGGACUGAGACACGGCCCAGACUCCUACGGGAGGCAGCAGUAGGGAAUCUUCGGCAAUGGACGAAAGUCUGACCGAGCAACGCCGCGUGAGUGAAGAAGGUUUUCGGAUCGUAAAACUCUGUUGUUAGAGAAGAACAAGGACGUUAGUAACUGAACGUCCCCUGACGGUAUCUAACCAGAAAGCCACGGCUAACUACGUG
rnacentral:rRNA from 1 species